rnacentral:lncRNA from 1 species
CAACAUGCCACCGGGGGGGCCUCCCAACAUGAGGAAUCCACCGCCUCCCAACAUGGGCGGGAUGCAGCAACCUAACAUGGGAGGUCCGCCCAACAUGGGCGGGAUGCACCAGCAGGGCGGGCCUCCCAACAUGAGGAAUCCACCCCCUCCCAACAUGGUCGGGAUGCAGCAACCUAACAUGGGAGGUCCUCCUAACAUGGGCGGGAUGCACCAGCAACCUAACAUGGGAGGUCCGCCUAACAUGGGCGGGAUGCACCAGCAGGGCAUGGGAGGUCCACCCAACAUGGGCGGGAUGCACCAGCAGGGCAUGGGAGGGCCACCCAACCCAGGCGGGAUGCACCAGCCGGGCAUGGGAGGGCCACCCAACCCAGGCGGGAUGCACCAGCCGGGCAUGGGAAGGCCAC